GGGGAAUUCGUCUAGUGGUAAGACGCGGACUUCGCAUCUAAAUGCUGAUUGUCUGAAACCGGUGUUCGAUUCACCGAUUCUCCA